rnacentral:rRNA from 1 species
UGGGGAAUUUUGGGACAAUGGGCGAAAGCCUGAUCCAGCAAUGCCGCGUGUGUGAAGAAGGCCUUCGGGUUGUAAAGCACUUUUGUCCGGAAAGAAAUCCUUGGCUCUAAUACAGUCGGGGGGAUGACGGUACCGGAAGAAUAAGCACCGGCUAACUACGUGCCAGCAGCCGCGGUAAUACGUAGGGUGCAAGCGUUAAUCGGAAUUACUGGGCGUAAAGCGUGCGCAGGCGGUUUGCUAAGACCGAUGUGAAAUCCCCGGGCUCAACCUGGGAACUGCAUUGGUGACUGGCAGGCUAGAGUAUGGCAGAGGGGGGUAGAAUUCCACGUGUAGCAGUGAAAUGCGUAGAGAUGUGGAGGAAUACCGAUGGCGAAGGCAGCCCCCUGGGGCCAAAUACUGACGCUCAUGCACGAAAGCGUGGGGGAGCAAACAGGAUUAGAUACCCUGGUAGUCCACGCCCUAAAACGAUGUCAACUAGUUGUUGGGGAUUCAUUUCCUUAGUAACGUAGCUAACGCGUGAAGUUGACCGCCUGGGGAGUACGGUCGCAAGAUUAAAACUCAAAUGAAUUG